rnacentral:snRNA from 1 species
GGGUGUGAGGACAAUCUGGCUGGACAUCUGAGGCUUCACUUAUAGCCAGAGUUGAUUUGGCUGAUCCGGCUGGCUAGGCGCCUGUCCCCUUCCUCCCUCACUGCCCCUCUGCAUGUGCAUCCAUUUGGAAGCUGCAUGCUGCGUGAAAGAGGACAACCUUCCCGGAUAGAAAAGGACUGUCCUUCAGUCAAGGGCAUACGAGUUAACUGUGUUCCCCUACUAGAACCUCCAAACAAAUUCUCAAGGUCCAUUUGUAGGAGAACGUAGGGUAGUCAAACUUCCAAGUCUCUAGACACCUCCAAGUGAGGUGCUGAAUGUGGCAGUCAGACUUUAUUU